GAUGAACGCUGGCGGCGUGCCUAAUACAUGCAAGUCGAGCGAAUGGAUUAAGAGCUUGCUCUUAUGAAGUUAGCGGCGGACGGGUGAGUAACACGUGGGUAACCUGCCCAUAAGACUGGGAUAACUCCGGGAAACCGGGGCUAAUACCGGAUAACAUUUUGAACCGCAUGGUUCGAAAUUGAAAGGCGGCUUCGGCUGUCACUUAUGGAUGGACCCCGGUCGCAUUAGCUAGUUGGUGAGGUAACGGCUCACCAAGGCAACGAUGCGUAGCCGACCUGAGAGGGUGAUCGGCCACACUGGGACUGAGACACGGCCCAGACUCCUACGGGAGGCAGCAGUAGGGAAUCUUCCGCAAUGGACGAAAGUCUGACGGAGCAACGCCGCGUGAGUGGUGAAGGCUUUCGGGUCGUAAAACUCUGUUGUUAGGGAAGAACAAGUGCUAGUUGAAUAAGCUGACACCUUGACGGUACCUAACCAGAAAGCCACGGCUAACUACGUGCCAGCCGCCGCGGUAA
rnacentral:rRNA from 1 species